UACGGGGGGGCAAGCGUUGUUCGGAAUUACUGGGCGUAAAGGGCUUGUAGGUGGCCAACUAAGUCAGACGUGAAAUCCCUCAGCUUAACUGGGGAACUGCGUCUGAUACUGGAUGGCUUGAGUUUGGGAGAGGGAUGCGGAAUUCCAGGUGUAGCGGUGAAAUGACGUAGAUAUCUGGAGGAACACCGGUGGCGAAGGCGGCAUCCUGGACCAACACUGACACUGAGGAGCGAAAGCCAGGGAGCAAACGGG
rnacentral:rRNA from 1 species